UUUUAGUUAGGAUAUAUAGUCCGCUAGCUUGUGGUGCUUGAAGACAAUAGACUAAAAU
rnacentral:tRNA from 1 species